AGCUUUGAGGUGCAUCACGUCAGGUUGCAAACCUGAAGAAGCAGGCUAGACGCCUGCCGGAGCUU
rnacentral:tRNA from 1 species